rnacentral:rRNA from 1 species
GACCGAUAGUGAACCAGUACCGUGAGGGAAAGGCGAAAAGAACCCCGGCGAGGGGAGUGAAAAAGAACCUGAAACCGUGUACGUACAAGCAGUGGGAGCACAGGUUUACCUGUGUGACUGCGUACCUUUUGUAUAAUGGGUCAGCGACUUAUAUUCUGUAGCAAGGUUAACCGCAUAGGGGAGCCGGAGGGAAACCGAGUCUUAAUUGGGCGUUAAGUUGCAGGGUAUAGACCCGAAACCCGGUGAUCUAGCCAUGGGCAGGUUGAAGGUUGGGUAACACUAACUGGAGGACCGAACCGACUAAUGUUGAAAAAUUAGCGGAUGACCUGUGGCUGGGGGUGAAAGGCCAAUCAAACCGGGAGAUAGCUGGUUCUCCCCGAAAGCUAUUUAGGUAGCGCCUCGUGAAUUCAUCUCCGGGGGUAGAGCACUGUUUCGGCUAGGGGGCCAUCCCGGCUUACCAACCCGAUGCAAACUGCGAAUACCGGAGAAUGUUAUCACGGGAGACACACGGCGGGUGCUAACGUCCGUCGUGAAGAGGGAAACAACCCAGACCGCCAGCUAAGGUCCCAAAGUCAUGGUUAAGUGGGAAACGAUGUGGGAAGGCCCAGACAGCCAGGAUGUUGGCUUAGAAGCAGCCAUCAUUUAAAGAAAGCGUAAUAGCUCACUGGUCGAGUCGGCCUGCGCGGAAGAUGUAACGGGGCUAAACCAU